ACGGGAGAAGACAUAACAAAGGAUUCCCCUAGUAACGGCGAGUGAAGAGGGAAAAGCUCAAAUUUAAAAUCUGACAGUCUAUGACUGUCCGAGUUGUAAUGUAGAGAAGUGUUUUCCGUGCUGGACCGUGUACAAGUCCUUUGGAACAAGGCGUCAUAGAGGGUGAGAAUCCCGUCUACGACACGGACUACCAGUGCUUUGUGAUACACUCUCAACGAGUCGAGUUGUUUGGGAAUGCAGCUCAAAAUGGGUGGUAAAUUCCAUCUAAAGCUAAAUACAGGCGAAAGACCGAUAGCGAACAAGUACCGUGAGGGAAAGAUGAAAAGCACUUUGGAAAGAGAGUUAAACAGUACGUGAAAUUGUUGAAAGGGAAACGCUUGAAGUCAGUCGCGUCUUCAGAAAUUCAGCCUGGUGACAAGCCUGGUGUACUUUUCUGUUGGACGGGCCAGCAUCAGUUUUGGUCACUAGAUAAAGGUAAGAGGAAGGUGGCACCUCUGGGUGUGUUAUAGCCUCUUGUCGUAUGUGGUGACUGGGACUGAGGACCGCAGCACGCCUUGAUGGCCGGGGUUCGCCCACGUAACGUGCUUAGGAUGCUGGCGUAAUGGCUUUAAACGACCCGUCUUGAAACACGGACCAAGGAGUCUAACAUGCCUGCGAGUAUUUGGGUGGCAAACCCAUAUGCGAAAUGAAAGUGAUCAGUUGGGACUUCUGUCAUGGAAGGCACCGACGCCCGGACCAGACCUAUUGUGAUGGAUCCGAGGUAGAGCAUGUAUGCUGGGACCCGAAAGAUGGUGAACUAUGCCUGAGUAGGGUGAAGCCAGAGGAAACUCUGGUGGAGGCUCGUAGCGAUUCUGACGUGCAAAUCGAUCGUCGAACUUGGGUAUAGGGGCGAAAGACUAAUCGAACCAUCUCUAAGGGCGCC
rnacentral:rRNA from 1 species